rnacentral:lncRNA from 1 species
AGCAGCCGCGCCAGCCUCAUGCCGAGUCCCGCUAGAGAAGCCACAGCCAGUACGCCAGGUUUCCCCGCGCCUCUGCCGAGUGGGUUGAAGGCAAAUACUUGAAGUUGCAAUCGAAGGUCAAGAAAAUGGAAUCAAGAGGUCACAAUCCUUCUCUGAUGAUGGCUUAGAAAGCUGGAAGACACUCAACAUUGAAUCCUGGGGCUCUGUGCCAUGCUUGCUAGGAGAAACAGCCACCAUGAGUCCAUCUUUCAGAUCUCAAGUGAACAGGGAAGAGAUUACUGCGUUCAGCACAGGGACAUCUACAAAGAAGGGAAGAAGAAACAGGGACAGACCAGUGAAGCAAUAGAAUAGUUACGUGGUUGUCAUUCUCCAGCUGGGAUUGAGAACAAGGGGAAGCUGGCCAUAGAGCCAGGUGACCAAAGAUGGAAGACAAAGGGUGGGCUGUGAUUCCCAGAGCUCCAAGCCUUGUUCUGUCUUGUCACACCAACUGUUACUGAUGAACAGGUUUACAAUCUUUGAGGCCUGGCUGACUCAUGGAACAACUAGGACAAGAAACAAAGACAAAGAACACACACCUGACUGGACAGAGAUAAACCAAGAGCUGAGAGUUUUGGAAACAAGGCUGGAGCUGAGGAAAAGGACUGGGAACACGAACCUGUACAAACAACAAAUUCUUACAACAGAAAACAAGCCACUCCUGGCCAUCAAGAAACCCACAAAUCUCAGAAGCAAAAGCAAAACAAAUGAAAAUACAAACCAAAUAGUCUCUAUUACCUUCAUGC